UAGGGAAUCUUCCGCAAUGGACGAAAGUCUGACGGAGCAACGCCGCGUGAGUGAAGAAGGAUUUCGGUUCGUAAAACUCUGUUGUUAGGGAAGAAAAAAUGUAUAGUAACUAUAUACAAAAGAGACGGUACCUAACCAGAAAGCCACGGCUAACUACGUGCCAGCAGCCGCGGUAAUACGUAUGGGGCGAGCGUUGUCCGGAAUUAUUGGGCGUAAAGGGUACGUAGGCGGUCUAUUAAGUCAGGUGUGAAAGCGUGAGGCUUAACCUCAUUAAGCACUUGAAACUGAUAGACUUGAGUGAAGGAGAGGAAAGUGGAAUUCCUAGUGUAGCGGUGAAAUGCGUAGAUAUUAGGAGGAAUACCGGUGGCGAAGGCGGCUAUCUGGACAGUAACUGACGCUGAGGCGCGAAAGCGUGGGGAGCAAACAGG
rnacentral:rRNA from 1 species